AGGCCCUUAACAAAUCACCCAGCCACUUUCCACAUCUGCUGCAUGUCAGCAUCUGCCAGACGCGCUCACCCGUCCCGGACGCUGCUAGCAAGCCUUCAUUACGCCUGCUGCUGAACAGCAUGUUCAACAGGUGUUAAGUGUCUGGAAUGUGUGACUGGAAUCGGCAGUAGAUCUUGAGGCUGUACUAGUUCACAUUCACCAGUGGUCAGAGGUCAGAGGGCCCUUCUGAGCACUAAAACACCUGAGGCACAGCUCCUCUGUCAGAGACGUGGACCAGAGCAUGUUUACUCAGGGUCAGCAUUGCAGUGAACAACAGAGCAGACAGACAUGACACAACGGACCUAUGCUGUGCGUGCCGGGACUACUGGAAAUAGGCGGUUCUAAAGGAUCCGACGAAGCGACCCAGUCUACUGGGAAGACAUUUGUGUUUAACCAGGGUUAACCUGAGAUAAGAAAGAAGCACCCGCGCAGACCUUCUGGAUAUCAUCAGAGAAGCUUUUUGUUGGACUCCUGAGGAACAGGUCAAGAAGAAAGGGACAUAUGUGAGACGUUGAAAGAACCAGUAAAUUCCAACAGAUGUGGGCAGUCUGUGAGAGGAAAUCCGACGGUCUGACACAGCAGAAGAUCAUUUGGCUUUGUCCCUGCAUGUUAGGGGCAAUGACAGCACUGAGAGUAAAUGAAUGAGUCAGACACCGAGUUAAAGCUCUGGUUGUUCACCCUUAAUAAACUGUAAAUAUUUCUCUAAAAGGAAAAAAAGAACGGGGAACAACUUCGGUGCUAAAGGUUUCCUAAACAGUCCUUUCAAAUUGAAGCGCAUGAAAAUGAAGACAUUGCAGUUUUAAGAGAAAGAUUAGAUAAUCAGCCCAUUUAAAUAGUCCAUUGGACGGCGUCCAAUCACUCCCUAUUUUCCACAAAGAAUGAGGUCUAAUAAGAUGCCUCUGCAAGACACCUGAGUAAGUGGAAAUAAUCCCCCUUUGAGAGCAGCGUGUAAAAACACUCCUCUAAAAAUAUAACAUGCCUAACCUGAGGGGAGACAACAGCGUGAGAAACAGAGAGAAUAAGUGAAAAGCCGACGCACACGCAUACACAGAGAUGAAAGCAGAAGUCAGUACAGUUUACAUCAACCUGAAUCUCCUCAUUUAGAGAAUGUGAGCACAGGCCGCGUGAAGUGACAGUCGAUAAAAUAUAAGCAGACAGAGAGACAGUAAUUAGCGUGAGUGAUUCUCUAACACAGGCUUUGAGCCGACUGCUACGUUGUGACAUUUCUCAAGCCUUGUUUUGUAAAGAUGCAUCUGGAAGCUGCUGAGAAGGACGUCCCCACCUCUGUGCUCGGAAAAUUGACUCCUCCAUUUAGAAACAGAAAUGUUUGCAUAAUAAAUCAGCGCAGGAAGCUUAAGAUGUGGCUUAAACUACUUUUACAUUCUCUGGAGAGGGUAGUGCUUUCUUGUCCUCGAUGCUGGAGUGUUUGCUAAUCCAUUGCCAAGGUGCUCUGCGCAACUAUAUUUACUAACAGCUGCGACUUACAAAUUGUCCUUUGCAUAUAGGGAUAGAUUGGUCUGUACGGACAGAUAACAGAAGUCAAUCUGCUUUUAUAGCCUUUAGUCAAGCCUGUAACCACAGCAACUGAUAGAAAUAGUAAAUAUAAGGCCUUUAAGGUCUUUAGGGAUUUAAUUUUUAUUCUCAGCUAUUUUGGGUAACUCCUGCUGCUUUCAUCCUCCUGAGUAUUCAUCCAAAAACUCUCCAGUUUGGUUUGUUCUAUCAUUUAACAGGAAUUGAAUUGUGUCUUGUUCUUCAUUGGAGUCUGCAUAAUACCCUCUUUUGGUUGUUUUUUGACAACCCAAGAGAAUUUUUUAACAGCAUAGAAUAACUUUUGGUGCCAUUUAUAUGUAAAUAAUGUGACAGGCAACUAA